rnacentral:rRNA from 1 species
GAUGAACGCUGGCGGCGUGCCUAAUACAUGCGAGUCGAGCGAACAGACCAGGAGCUUGCUCCUCUGACGUUAUCGGCGGACGGGUGAGUCACACGUGGAUAACCUACCUAUACGACUGGGAUAACUUCGGGGAACCGGAGCUAAUACCGGAUAAUAUAUUGAACCGCAUGGUUCAAUAGUGAAAGACGGUUUUGCUGUCACUUAUAGAUUGAUCCGCGCCGCAUUAGCUAGUUGGUAAGGUGACGGCUUACCAACGCAACGAUGGGUAGCCGACCUCAGAGCGUGGUCGGCCACCUGGGAGGUGAGACAGGGCCCAGACUCCUACGGGAGGAAGCAGUAGGGAAUCUUACGCGAGGGGCGAAAGCCUGACAGAGCAACGCGGCGGGAGUGAUGAAGGUCUUCGGACCGUAAAACUCUGUUAUUAGGAAAGAACAAAUGUGUAAGUAACUAUGCACGUCUUGACGGUACCUAGUCAGAAAGCCACGGCUAACUACGUG